rnacentral:rRNA from 1 species
UACGAAGGGUGCAAACGUUGCUCGGAAUUAUUGGGCGUAAAGCGCACGUAGGCGGCUUUGUAAGUUGGAUGUGAAAGCCCUCGGCUCAACCUGGGGCUUGCAGUGGGUACGGGCAGACUAGAGUGCGGUAGGGGUGACUGGAAUUCCGUGGUGUACGCGGUGGAAUGCGCAGAUAUCAGGAGGAACACCGAUGGCGAAGGCAGGUCACUGGGCCGCAACUGACGCUGAGGAGCGAAAGCAUGGGGAGCGAACAGG